rnacentral:rRNA from 1 species
UGUGCCAGCAGCCGCGGUAAUACGUAGGUGGCGAGCGUUGUCCGGAAUUAUUGGGCGUAAAGAGCGCGUAGGCGGGUAAAUAAGUCUGUUUUAAAAGUGCGGGGCUCAACCCCGUGAUGGAAUGGAAACUGUUUAUCUUGAGUACCGGAGAGGAAAGUGGAAUUCCCAGUGUAGCGGUGAAAUGCGUAGAUAUUGGGAGGAACACCAGUGGCGAAGGCGACUUUCUGGACGGUGUCUGACGCUGAGGCGCGAAAGCCAGGGAAGUGAACGGGAUUAGAAACCCCGGUAGUCC